GUGGCCUAUCGCCACCGCUAACGAGCUCCUUCGCAUAUCAAUCGCCGCACGCGCUUGGGGGCGCCGAUCUUUUUAAUUCAUGUAAAGCGGACAUAUGUGUUUGUGGAGAGCUGGUGUUUUUGAAAGAAGACACGUCAAGGGUUGUAAUAUUUUCCUUAGCAUGUGCCUGGGGUUGUCAUGACAACCGCAUUCCCCUUCAGAGGUCUCCAGAGGAACCCGAUGUCCUCUUUCUCCGGGUACAGUUGGAAUAUCCCCCACGCUGCUUAGAGGAGGAACGGAUGAAUUAUUUACAAUCUUCGCAAGCAUCAAGUAGCUGGCAGCCAUGCUCAGCUCGACAGGAAGCUGCGGAGUGUCUGGGCCCCGAGGCAGUGCAUUUUCCGUCUGCCUCGUUUUAAUCCCUCAUUACACACAGAGCACUAACGUUUAACGAGGCUCGGAUGGGAGCCACGGCCAGUCGCACAUGGGGUCAUGGAGCUGCAGGAGUUAAACAAUGAUGGAGCAUGUUUUUAUCCUGGCAAACCAGUGAAGCAAGCGCACGCUAACGCUAAUGUAUGCCCUGCUUCUGCUUCGUGCUUACAUCACUGGAUCUUUGCGUAUGUGAGCCGACGGUGCACAAAAAUCCACUUUCCUCAAUCCCAAAGAGCGACAUUAGCUGUGUGCUUUUGCAGUGCUGCAGAGGGGCGUGAGUUUCUCAUCGAGAUGCCACAGUGUGCGGGUCACCAACCAUCCGGACAACCAAAGCAGCCGAGACAAGGGUUGGCUAAAGAGCACUGGGCCCUGCUGCCGACCUGAGGUCACUGCAGCUUCCUGCUGGCUGCUGCUUACUCUGCGUCUAACUGGCCUGUGUUGGAGUUUUUGUUUAUUGAAGUGGGAAUGGGAAAGAGGAGCCAUAUACACACACGCAUGACCAGAAUCCCUGAGGUUACAGUACACGCUCUGCCAUGUAACUGAGCUCUCCUGGGUUUCACUGAACCAGCUCCAUCCUGUAGCCUGACGGACAGACUGUGUGCUUUAUGCCAGUGAGACACAGAGACCCUCUGCUGGCCACCCCAAU